UGGGAAGCAGACGGAAAUUGAAGAUGCC
rnacentral:piRNA from 1 species